CAGUAGCCACGGGAAUACAGAGGGUGCGAGCGUUAAUCGGAUUUACUGGGCGUAAAGCGUGCGUAGGCGGCUUCUUAAGUCGGAUGUGAAAUCCCUGAGCUUAACUUAGGAAUUGCAUUCGAUACUGGGAAGCUAGAGUAUGGGAGAGGAUGGUAGAAUUCCAGGUGUAGCGGUGAAAUGCGUAGAGAUCUGGAGGAAUACCGAUGGCGAAGGCAGCCAUCUGGCCUAAUACUGACGCUGAGGUACGAAAGCAUGGGGAGCAAACAGGAUUAGAUACCCGGGUAGUCCCUGUCUCUUAUAC
rnacentral:rRNA from 1 species